GAAUGCUUAUCUUCCCACGUGCAUUUCCUUCCUAAGAACUGCACAUUUUAGGGGAAAAAAUCCAGCCUGCUAGAAGUCCAAAACAUGGACAGAGUUGGCCUUUUGCUACACUGGGGGAAAAUAAUGGGUUUGCUUUGAAAGCUGCGAGCUGAGCUGUGUGUUAGCCAAAGGGGUUAAACCACUUCCCAAACUGUUUUUCACUGAACUCUUGCCCCAAGGCAGAAGAAAUCUCCCUCUCUAAUUGAUGUCUUUAGUCAAUGCCUGCUUGUAAUCAGGAAGAUUGCACUUAAAAGGUAUGGAGGCCAGUAUUAUUAUUUGGCAUUAGAGGAUUUUGCUUUGUAAUUAUGAGCCCGGGAGUUUUCAAGUGCUCCACCGGCUGCGGAGUUUCAGAUAUCAUACAGAAACCCCUGGCGGCAUCUGCAGGGAAGCUUCUGACCUUUAAGAGGGUGCGCGCGGCACACCACACCGGCAAACACUUGUCUGCAUGAUUUGCACGUCUGGUGCAUGGCAGGUUUUUCAACUGCAGCCUUUUAUUUACUGCUCAGCACACAGUAAAGAAAAGCAGACAAUACUGGCCGAGGAGAAUGGGACAGUUUGGCAGAAAUGGUCGAGAUUAUGAACGGCAUGGUUGGGCCAAUUUCCUCUCUACAUCUUUGGACAGAAUUUGUGCACUAGAGACGUCCAUAUUGAUGAUAUCAAAACAACCUGGACCAAAUAUACUUCUGAAGAGCCACAACUUCUGGAAUAGCCCAUGUGGAAAGAAUCGCCAGAAUGAAAGCUUUAAAACAAAUCAGGACGACUAUCAGUUCAUUCUUCCAGCUGUGUGAAGCCAACAAAAGGCAAUAAGAAUGAUAUUAAAAUUAUCUUUUACACUCAGACAUGUUGCCAGCAGGGGUGGGUGUCUGGCAGUUUGUAUUCUUCAGUCCUACUGUUCUCAGGAAAACAGAGUAGGAAGACCAGAUAAGCCAUCUUGGG
rnacentral:lncRNA from 1 species